CCUACGGGGGGCAGCAGUGGGGAAUAUUGGACAAUGGGCGAAAGCCUGAUCCAGCCAUGCCGCGUGUGUGAAGAAGGCCUUCGGGUUGUACAGCACUUUCAGUGGGGAAGAAAGCCUUGGGGCUAAUACCCUCGAGGAAGGACAUCACCCACAGAAGAAGCACCGGCUAACUCCGUGCCAGCAGCCGCGGUAAUACGGAGGGUGCGAGCGUUAAUCGGAAUUACUGGGCGUAAAGCGCGCGUAGGCGGUCUGAUAAGCCGGUUGUGAAAGCCCCGGGCUCAACCUGGGAACGGCAUCCGGAACUGUCAGGCUAGAGUGCAGGAGAGGAAGGUAGAAUUCCCGGUGUAGCGGUGAAAUGCGUAGAGAUCGGGAGGAAUACCAGUGGCGAAGGCGGCCUUCUGGACUGACACUGACGCUGAGGUGCGAAAGCGUGGGUAGCAAACAGGAUUAGAUACCCGAUAGUC
rnacentral:rRNA from 1 species